GAGGAUAUAGCUCAAGUGGUAGAGUGCAUGCCUAACAAGCAAGAGGUCCUGGGUUCAAUCCUCAGUAUCUCUU
rnacentral:tRNA from 1 species